rnacentral:rRNA from 1 species
AACGCGAAGAACCUUACCUGGGUUUGACAUGCAUCUCUAAGUCGGUGAAAGCCGGCGACUGGAGCAAUCCAGAAUUUGCACAGGUGCUGCAUGGCUGUCGUCAGCUCGUGUCGUGAGAUGUUGGGUUAAGUCCCGCAACGAGCGCAACCCUUGUGAUCUGUUGCCACCGGUCCGCGAGGAUCGAGCACUCUGAUCAGACUGCCCUGUGAAACGGGGAGGAAGGUGGGGAUGACGUCAAGUCAGCAUGGCCCUUACACCCAGGGCUGCACACGUACUACAAUGCUCAGUACAGAAUGACCCGAUACCGCGAGGUGGAGGAAAUCUAUAAAACUGAGCCCAAUUCGGAUCGCAGGCUGCAACUCGCCUGCGUGAAGCCGGAAUCGCUAGUAAUGGCGCAUCAGCUACGGCGCCGUGAAUACGUUCCCGGGCCUUGUACACACCGGAGUGC